CACGUAGGGGGCAAGCGUUGUCCGGAUUCAUUGGGCGUAAAGAGCUCGUAGGCGGUUCGGUAAGUCGGGUGUGAAACCUCCAGGCUCAACCUGGAGACGCCACCCGAUACUGCUGUGACUAGAGUCCAGUAGGGGAGCGUGGAAUUCCUGGUGUAGCGGUGAAAUGCGCAGAUAUCAGGAGGAACACCAGUGGCGAAGGCGGCGCUCUGGGCUGGAACUGACGCUGAGGAGCGAAAGCGUGGGGAGCGAACAGG
rnacentral:rRNA from 1 species